UGUUCAAUUACAAGACUCUGACGUCGACGGCCUCUGCUCAAAGUUGAUGGCCUCUGCUCAAAGUCGACGGCCCACCCCCCUCUCCACCUCCCCACACCGCGUUACGCGGUUUUUCCUUUUUUGCUGUUAUUGAUAAAUAGAACAAUCCUGUCGCAAGAGAUAAUAAACAUCACCAAAUAAAUAGAAUAGAAGGUUCCCACUUUUUCUUUCCAGAGAAGACAGAAGUAGAGCAAAUAACAUGAGAAAGUUCUUAUUAUUCCUUCAAUGCUUGAUUUUUCUCGCACUGCUUCUCAUUCAUCCUUCAUUUGCUCCUAGGGGCGGCCGUACCAGUGAUGAACCAAUACAUCCCCGCCUUCGCCGACAAAAGGCCGAGGUUCACAUCCCUGACCAAUAACGGCAGCCGGUUGGACUGGAGCCUCCACGCAUGUGCUGUGUGCAUAGGGGGCUUUUGUAACAAAACUAGGAAAUAAUAACUCCGGUUAUUAAUUAUUACAAGAUGAAUGUGUGCUUGCUAAUGAAAAUUGAUUCAGUUACAAUAAGGAUUCAUGAUUGAAUUGUUGAGAAAUAGCAAAUUAAUUUAUUUUAUUAGUCGAUAUUUAAAUCAAUACAAUUGCUCUUUUUCUUUCAAAUCGACUAAGUAAACACUUCAUUUUGAAAUAGUUAAAAUCAUAUAUAAAAUAACGUUAGUUUUGUUUCAAAAUAAUGAUUCAAGAGUUAAAUCAAUUUGAAUUGACUGAAUAAUUAUUUUACUCGUGUACUUAAGUAUUAGAAUUCGAAUUUUAUUUUACAUAUACAACAACCAACCCAUUGAGAAAAACAAAUAGUAGGAGAUAUCACGAAAAAUUAGAAAAAAAUAGAAUUACAAUAUUUUAUUUAUUUAAGGGGCAUCUGGGAUCACACGACCCAUUAAAGUCUCUGCCACCACCACUAGUAAAAAUUCAGGUUUUUAUGAUGACUGAGUCAGGGGUGAAGCCUAAACAUCAAGAAGACUGGAAAAGGUGUAUUCCCUAAAAAUGAACAAAGUACGAUCCCCAACAAGCUUCAGAAUGUUCUUAAGGUCCAUAUUACUAAUGCUAAAAUAUGGAAUGCAUAGGAUCCAAGUAUCAAGGAACUGGCUGAAUAGAUCAGCUUGAGGAGAGAAUGGCACGCAUAAAAGGAGAUCCAUCUUUGAAGCAUAUUUUAGAUGAGAUAGAGAUUGGUGGUCCUACUGCUAUGAUGAGGUUUGGAUGGAAAAAUUUCUUAUCUUUUUGGCCAUUUUAAAAUUUCUAUCAGUUCAAUGUCUUCCAAAUUUUAAAUAGUUUCUAAAGUGUUUCAGGUUGUUUGUGCAAUUUGUAACACUGAGCAGCGGAUAAGUAUUUUCUUCCAACUUAUUUCUUGGAGAUGAACUAAGCCGAAUUUGAUGCAUAAUUCCAGCUAGGAAUUGUUAAUAUUCUUGCUUCCUCAAUGAUGCUGAAUGUUUUUUUAAUCAAUUUGCAUAUAGGAAAACAACAGUUUCAUUGCGAUGAUUGUGGAAUAUGUAGGUGUAGUUCACUUAGCUGUGUUUGAGUAUAUCCAUAUCUUAUGUCACCUGAAUUUAUGACAUACAAACUAAUUUUUUAUGAUCUAAUUUGAAAACAGGGUUGGUGGUCAAGAGAACUAUUUCCACUGCGAAAAGUGUGGGUCAUGCUAUUUAGUUACACUACGUGACAAUCAUUUGUGUGGAGAACUCCAUGGGCAUGUGCAUUACUGAAGUUGCUGUUGUUGCAAUUAUGUAGUUAUAUGAUAUUGAAACAUUGAAGUUAUUUUAUUUUAUUUUUUUAAUGAAAAACAAGUAAUAGUUAUGAAGAACAAUAGCAUAUGCAAUUAUGUAUGGAACUAUUGACAUUGAGAACUUUUAUAUAUAUAUAUAUAGAGAGUUAUCUUGUAUUGAGAAAUGAUUA